rnacentral:rRNA from 1 species
UAGGGAAUCUUCGGCAAUGGGGGCAACCCCUCGACCGAGCAACGCCGCGUGAGUGAAGAAGGUUUUCGGAUCGUAAAGCUCUGUUGUAAGAGAAGAACGUGUGUGAGAGUGGAAAGUUCACACAGUGACGGUAACUUACCAGAAAGGGACGGCUAACUACGUGUCAG